GGUUGUGUAGUGUAGUGGUUAUCACUCGAGAUUUUGAAGUCACGUGACAAAAUUAUGCGCUGACAUAAUCAGAUUUCUCGUAACCCCGGUUCGAGCCCGGGCACGACCU